CCAUGCGUCUCAGAGAGCGUUUCCCCCAGUUUCCUGGGCUCGCUCGUGCGCCCUUGCUCGUCGCCUCAUGUCCCCCCAGGGCCCCGCCAUGCUACGGUGUCCUCAGGACUAGGGGGCUUCUCCCCUACUCCUUGGGCCCCCAUGACCCGUGGGGCACCCAUUUCCUAUGGGCUGUGUAUAUAUGAUGUGGCUCAGCUGUGUCCUCUGGGGCCCCCCUUCUCCCCUGGAGGGCCCCCUAAUGCCCCUCACCAUCGUCUCCCGCAGCCGGGCUCCUCUUUUUCCACAGGCUUCCCACUUCCUUUGUGACUCCCCUCACCCCCGUUUUAAUCCAUUAUUUCAGUGCCAGAGCUGCAGCAAGUCACAUCCCACCCUGUCGGAGAUUCUUCCCAGGCAAAUGGAGAUGUUCUCUCCCGAAUCCCAGACCAGCCACAGCCCCUGCUGCCAGUGGAUCCUCCCUUUCCCGGGCAAACACCAUCCAGAUCGUGGAUGUGACACCAGACCCUGGUACGACAGAAACCCCAUGAACGCAGGCUCUGGGUCCCUCCUCAGAGGAACCUUACAGUGUGGUUCCUAUCUGUGGUGGGCACUGAAUCACCAAAAUCCAGUUGUUUUCCUGAUACCAAGAGAAGUGAGAUCAUACUGUGGAAGAGGAGGGGAUAUGUUCCCAGAGGGAGCAUCACCUGAAUCCCUGAAACAGAGCUGGUGCUCUUUGUCUCAGUGUAACAUUUGUGCCUGUGCUAUAUCCACAGCACUUGAACAACUUCCUCAGCAGUGGUACCUUCAGGACCCACAUCCAAAGAUGCCAACACCUUCCUCUCCUACUGUAGCCUCACUCA